rnacentral:rRNA from 1 species
GAUGAACGCUAGCUACAGGCUUAACACAUGCAAGUCGAGGGGUAACGAGAGGAAAGCUUGCCUUCCUUGUCGACGACCGGCGCACGGGUGAGUAACGCGUAUCCAACCUGCCCCCAACUAGGGAAUAACCUUGCGAAAGUAAGACUAAUACCCUAUAAUUUCCUCAGAUGACAUCUGACGAGGAAUAAAGAUUUAUCGGUUGUGGAUGGGGAUGCGUCUGAUUAGCUUGUUGGCGGGGUAACGGCCCACCAAGGCAACGAUCAGUAGGGGUGCUGAGAGGAAGGUCCCCCACAUUGGAACUGAGACACGGUCCAAACUCCUACGGGAGGCAGGAGUGAGGAAUAUUGGGCAAUGGGCGGAAGCCUGAACCAGCCAAGUAGCGUGCAGGAUGACGGCCCUAUGGGUUGUAAACUGCUUUUAUACAGGAAUAAAGUUAGCCACGUGUGGUUAUUUGUAGGUACUGUAUGAAUAAGGACCGGCUAAUUCCGUGCCAGCCGCCGCAGUAA